GACGAACGCUGGCGGCGUGCUUAACACAUGCAAGUCGAGCGGUAAGGCCCUUUCGGGGGUACACGAGCGGCGAACGGGUGAGUAACACGUGGGUGACCUGCCCUUAGCUCUGGGAUAAGCCUGGGAAACUGGGUCUAAUACCGGAUAUGACUCCAUGACGCAUGUUGUGGGGUGGAAAGCCUUGUGCGGCUAGGGAUGGGCCCGCGGCCUAUCAGCUUGUUGGUGGGGUGAUGGCCACCAAGGCGACGACGAGUAGCCGGCCUGAGAGGGCGACCGGCCACACUGGGACUGAGACACGGCCCAGACUCCUACGGGAGGCAGCAGUGGGGAAGUCUUGCGCAAUGGGCGAAGGCCUGACGCAGCGACGCCGCGUGGGGAGUGACGGCCUCGGUGU
rnacentral:rRNA from 1 species